AUCUCUGUGGUGCAAUAGUUCAGUGUGUCUGUUAAGCUGAAGGCUGGGGGUUUGAGCCCCCCCAGGGACA